GAUGAAGAACGUAGCGAAAUGCGAUAAGUAGUGUGAAUUGCAGAAUUCAGUGAAUCAUCGAAUCUUUGAACGCACAUUGCGCCCCUUGGUACUCCAUGGGGCAUGCCUGUUCGAGCGUCAUUUACACCCUCAAGCUCUGCUUGGUGUUGGGCGUCUGUCCCGCUUCGUGCGCGGACUCGCCUCAAAUGCAUUGGCAGCGGUCUUGCCAGCUUCUCGCGCAGCACAUUGCGCUUCUAGAGGCUUUGGCGGAUCGGCGUCCAUCAAGUACCCCCACAGUUUGACCUCGGAUCAGGUAGGGAUACCCGCUGAACUUAAGCAUAUCAAUAAGCGGAGGA
rnacentral:misc_RNA from 1 species